rnacentral:misc_RNA from 1 species
GAUGAAGAACGCAGCGAAAUGCGAUAAGUAGUGUGAAUUGCAGAAUUCAGUGAAUCAUCGAAUCUUUGAACGCACAUUGCGCCCCAUGGUAUUCCAUGGGGCAUGCCUGUUCGAGCGUCAUUUGUACCUUCAAGCUCUGCUUGGUGUUGGGUGUUUGUCUCGCCUCUGCGUGUAGACUCGCCUCAAAACAAUUGGCAGCCGGCGUAUUGAUUUCGGAGCGCAGUACAUCUCGCGCUUUGCACUCAUAACGACGACGUCCAAAAGUACAUUUUUACACUCUUGACCUCGGAUCAGGUAGGGAUACCCGCUGAACUUAAGCAUAUCAAUAAGCGGAGGA